UUUAAAGUCUGGCCUGCCCAAUGAGUUUUUAAUGGCCGCAGUAUCCUAACUGUGCAAAGGUAGCAUAAUCAUUAGUUUUUUAAUUGAGAACUUGUAUGAAUGGUUAAAUGAAAAAAAAUCUGUCUCUUUAUUAAUUAAUUAGAAUUUUAUUUUUAAGUGAGAAAGCUUAAAUUAAUUAGAAAGACGAGAAGACCCUAUAGAGUUUUAUAUUUUUGUGAAAAAAUCUUUUUUAGUAAUUAUUUAUAUUAUUUUUAUAAAAAUAUUUUGUUGGGGUGAUAUAAAAAUUUAAUUAACUUUUUAUUUAUUUAAACAUUGAUUAAUGAAUAUUUGAACCUUUAUUUUGGAUUAUAAGAAUUAAAUUACCUUAGGGAUAACAGCGUAAUCUUUUUUUAAAGUUCUUAUUAAAAAGAAGGUUUGCGACCUCGAUGUUGAAUUAAAAUUUAAUUUUGGUGCAGAAGCUAAAAAUUUGAGUCUGUUCGACUCGUUGAAUUUUACA
rnacentral:rRNA from 1 species